rnacentral:rRNA from 1 species
AGCGGCGGACGGGUGAGUAAUGCCUGGGAAAUUGCCCUGAUGUGGGGGAUAACCAUUGGAAACGAUGGCUAAUACCGCAUAAUAGCUUCGGCUCAAAGAGGGGGACCUUCGGGCCUCUCGCGUCAGGAUAUGCCCAGGUGGGAUUAGCUAGUUGGUGAGGUAAUGGCUCACCAAGGCGACGAUCCCUAGCUGGUCUGAGAGGAUGAUCAGCCACACUGGAACUGAGACACGGUCCAGACUCCUACGGGAGGCAGCAGUGGGGAAUAUUGCACAAUGGGCGCAAGCCUGAUGCAGCCAUGCCGCGUGUGUGAAGAAGGCCUUCGGGUUGUAAAGCACUUUCAGCAGUGAGGAAGGCGGGUACGUUAAUAGCGUAUUCGUUUGACGUUAGCUGCAGAAGAAGCACCGGCUAACUCCGUGCCAGCAGCCGCGGUAAUACGGAGGGUGCGAGCGUUAAUCGGAAUUACUGGGCGUAAAGCGCAUGCAGGUGGUUAGUUAAGUCAGAUGUGAAAGCCCGGGGCUCAACCUCGGAACUGCAUUUGAAACUGGCUGACUAGAGUACUGU